AUACAAGGAUGUUAGCUUAAAAUCUUCGCAUCCUGCGAAAACGGCUAACUGACCUGCAUCGGUGCUGC
rnacentral:sRNA from 1 species